rnacentral:lncRNA from 1 species
CUUUUCCUUCCAGUCGGCAUUAGGGUUUUAAACCCUAAACUGAAUUUUCCUUUCAGUCAGCAUUAGGGUUUUAAACCCUAAACUGAAUUUUUCCUUUCAGUCAGCAUUAGGGUUUUAAACCCUAAACUGAAUUUUUCCUUUAGUCGGCAUUAGGGUUUUAAACCCUAAACUGAGCUUUUCCAUGCAGUCAGCAUUAGAGUUUUAAACCUUAAACUGAACUUUUCCAUUCAGCCAGCAUUAGGGUUUUAAACCCUAAACUGAGCUUUUCCAUGCAAUCAGCAUUAGGGUUUUAAACCCUAAACUGAAUUUUCCUUUUAGUCAGCAUUAGGGUUUUAAACCCAAAACUGAACUUUUUUCCAUUCAGCCAGCAUUAGGGUUUCAAACCCUAAACUGAGCUUUUCCAUGCGAUCAACAUUAGGGUUUUAAACCCUAAACUGAAUUUUUCCUUUAGCCAGCAUUAGGGUUUUAAACCCUAAACUGAGCUUUUCUUUCCAGUCAGCAUUAGGGUUUUAAACCCUAAACUGAACUUUUUUCCAUUCAGCCAGCAUUAGGGUUUUAAACCCUAAACUGAGCUUUUCCAUGUAAUCAGCAUUAGGGUUUUAAACCCUAAACUGAAUUUUCCUUUUAGUCAGCAUUAGGGUUUUAAACCCUAAACUGAACUUUUUCCCAUGCAGUCAGCAUUAGGGUUUUAAACCCCAAACUGAGCUUUUCCAUUCAAUCAGCAUUAGGGUUUUAAACCCUAAACUGAAUUUUUCCUUUAGUCAGCAUUAGGGUUUUAAACCCUAAACUGAACUUUUUUCCAUUCAGCCAGCAUUAGGGUUUUAAACCCUAAACUGAGCUUUUCCAUGCGAUCAGCAUUAGGGUUUUAAACCCUAAACUGAAUUUUUCCUUUAGUCAGCAUUAGGGUUUUAAACCCUAAACUGAACUUUUUCCCAUUCAGCCAGCAUUAGGGUUUUAAACCCCAAACUGAGCUUUUCCUUCCAGUCAGCAUUAGGGUUUUAAACCCUAAACUGAAUUUUCCUUUCAGUCAGCAUUAGAGUUUUAAACCCUAAACUGAAUUUUUCCUUUCAGUCAGCAUUAGGGUUUAAAACCCUAAACUGAAUUUUUUCCUUUCAGUCAGCAUUAGGGUUUAAAACCCUAAACUGAAUUUUUCCUUUAGUCAGCAUUAGGGUUUUAAACCCUAAACUAAACAUUUUUCCAUUCAGCCAGCAUUAGGGUUUUAAACCCCAAACUGAGCUUUUCCAUGCGAUCAGCAUUAGGGUUUUAAACCCUAAACUGAAUUUUUCCUUUAGCCAGCAUUAGGGUUUUAAACCCUAAACUGAAUUUUUCCUUUAGCCAGCAUUAGGGUUUUAAACCCUAAACUGAGCUUUUCCUUCCAGUAAGCAUUAGGGUUUUAAACCCUAAACUGAACUUAUUUCCAUUCAGCCAGCAUUAGGGUUUUAAACCCUAAACUGAGCUUUUUCAUGCGAUCAGCAUUAGGGUUUUAAACCCUAAACUGAAUUUUUCCUUUAGUCAGCAUUAGGGUUUUAAACCCUAAACUGAACUUUUUCCCAUUCAGCCAGCAUUAGGAUUUUAAACCCCAAACUGAGCUUUUCCUUCCAGUCAGCAUUAGGGUUUUAAACCCUAAACUGAAUUUUCCUUUCAGUCAGCAUUAGAGUUUUAAACCCUAAUCUGAAUAUUUCCUUUCAGUCAGCAUUAGGGUUUAAUACCCUAAACUGAAUUUUUUCCUUUCAGUCAGCAUUAGGGUUUAAAACCCUAAACUGAAUUUUUCCUUUAGUUAGCAUUAUGGUUUUAAACCCUAAACUAAGCUU